GACCUGACAGGCACACAAGACAAUCAGGAAAUUUCUCCUUUAGAGGAGUUUUAUGCCUAUGUAAUCAGUGCAGACAGCCGUUAAGUAAAUGAAGAGGCAACUAACAAUGUCAGAAAAGAGACCGGGCGGUUCCGGCUGACACUACCCUAAUCUUCCAGGACCCAUUAAAUGGCAGUUUCAACGCAUUACCUACCAUAACAUCCUUGAAUAUCACUGAUUUUAUUUGCAGUAUCAAACAUUCCAUUUCAUGCCCCAUUAACAGUGGGAGCCGGAGCUUUUUGACGCAGCUAAACAUUUUACUAACUACCUGGACUAAGUAACCAAUUAACUUUUGGAGACAAUACGGCCAAUUAAGCGCGAAAAGAGCUUGACCAGAAUGGGAACAACAAGACUGAAGGCUCAGCUGCAGAUGUAUGAGGCAUUGACCUAUGGCUUCCUAAUAGAUCUGCAAAGUGCUUUGUUCCCGGAAAUCAUCCGAUGAGUAGUUCAGGGCUAUUGUAUAUCUUGUUAGCGCAGCCAAAGCGCCACAAAAUGAACUGAAAUCUCCCUGCAGAGUUGCUGUAUCAUGUGCUGAGAACAUUCUGAACUUUCAACCAAUUCAUGUUACGAUCCUGGUCACCAUGGUUAAGUCUGUACAGGGGUUAAGUGAGAAAUAUGGGGCUGCCAUUAAGUGUCUGUUGAGAGUGACAAAGCUCUGGACACAAGGGGUGGGAGAGGAGGGAUUCCCUCUCAGCCCUGUGCAAUUGUAUUACAGCCUGAAGAAAUAAUGGAGUGAGCAGUCUUCCCUGGAGUCUUUCAUCCACAGACAGGACCUUGAUCCCUCGACCUUGGCUUUGCCCACUCUGUAGAGUGGGGGUCCUCCUGUUCCAUAAAAUUAAUUGUGAUAGUUGAUGAGCUAUCAUAAAGAAAAAAGGCACAAUUGUUUUAAGUGUACAGUUUUCUAUCUUUCAGUCUAUUAUCUAUAAUGUAUCUAAACUUAUCUAUCACCAAUCUAGCUCGAUCCUCUAUGUACUUAUCUGUUUAUCUAAGCAACACAAUUCUUUCCUGACUUAAAAUACUCAGUCGAUAAUUCUCUCUCUUCUCUCCCCUUUCCCUUACCAUUUCCCUUCCAACUCUGAUUGGAAGUGACUUAUCAGCUUUUU